ensembl:lncRNA
GACCAAGCUAAGUGCUGCUGCUGCUGCUGCUGUUGCUGCUGCUGCUGAGUCGCCUCAGUCGUGUCCGACUCUGUGAGACCCCAGAGGCGGCAGCCCACCAGGCUCCCCCGUCCCUGGGACUCUCCAGGCAAGAACACUGGAGUGGGUUGCCAUUUCCUUCUCCAAUGCGUGAAAGUGAAAAGUGAAAGUGAAGUCUCUCAGUCGUGUCCGACUCUUAGUGACCCCAUGGACUGCAGCCCACCAGGCUCCUCCGCCCAUGGGAUUUUCCAGACACUGAUUUGAACUCCAAAGAGGAACAGCUGAUUCCUGAUGGUCUGUUUCCUCCUGGGUUUACUGCACAACAGGUAACAGGUGGCCUUGGAAGACCUGUUCCUAUGCACCUGCAAGGGAGCAGCCUCUCCCAGAUCCCUGUAACUGCCCAUGUGUGGAU